ACCAGAGGCACCAUGAAUUUGAUUUGUUAAGUUGAGCUUGAAAAGCCAAGCUUUUGUGAUCUUAAAGUGGUGAACAUCACAGAACACCAUGUGGCGUUUAAGGUUAAAACGACUUCGCCUAAGAAGUACUUUGUGCGACCAAAUACCGGUGUAUACAGCCUUUGGAUUCAUCGUCAUUAAGGU